GCUCCCUGCCCUCCGGUAGAAUAACUCAGGGAGGCACACGCUUAGCAUUUUAAUCACACUUCGGCCAACCUUCGAAGCUGGCAUGGGGGAGGGGGGAAGAUCAACUUCCUGCUGGCUUUCAAGUUUGACGACAGAACGGCCACACCAAAUGAACUUGCAGCCCUGCCGCUCUCGGUGGCCUUCUUGGCCCGGCUGGAGUCAGCGUACCCAGUCCUUCAGAAGGGAUCACGGGAACGACACCUGCCAAAUACAUGUGGAGUCCAGGAGGCUAAGAAGGCGAUUUCGUCGGGGCAUCCUGGUCACCACAACUGGACAUCGUCCUUGUGUGAGGAAGUGAUGCUCGCUGCCGAGGCUAUGAUCUUGUAGCCUUAUCCUUGGGAGGAUAAGCUGCUUCUCUCUUAGGCAAAUGGGAACCAAAACCACCCUGACCAGUUUGAGCCUAACCCCUCCCCACUCGCACCUGUGGACCCCGGAGCGACCUCUAAAAUGACCUACAACUAUCAGUACCUCAUUGUAAUAUAAAGUCUCCG